rnacentral:rRNA from 1 species
GGAAUUUUGUGCAAUGGGCGUAAGCCUGACCCAGCAACGCCGCGUGAAGGAUGAAAUCCCUCGGGAUGUAAACUUCGCAAGAACGGGAAGAAUAAGUAAGGGGUACUAUCUCUUACGAUGACGGUACUGUUUGUAAGCUCCGGCUAACUUCGUUCCAGCAGCCGCGGUAAUACGGGGGGAGCAAGCGUUGUUCGGAUUUACUGGGCGUAACGGGCGCGUAGGCGGCCACCGCAAGUCGACUGUGAAAUCUCCGGGCUUAACUCGGAAAGGUCAGCCGAUACUGCGGGGCUAGAGUGCAGAAGGGGCAACUGGAAUUCUCGGUGUAGCGGUGAAAUGCGUAGAUAUCGAGAGGAACACCUGCGGCGAAGGCGGGUUGCUGGGCUGACACUGACGCUGAGGCGCGAAAGCUAGGGGAGCGAA